rnacentral:rRNA from 1 species
UGCUGGAAUUAAUCGGAAUAGGUGAGAACAAAGUUACGAACGGAUGCGUAAUGCGUGGGAAUCUGUUGAAUAGUUUGGGCCGAAUUCUGAAGAAAGUUCAAAGCAUUGUUUGAUGAGCCUGCGUAGCAUUAGUUAGUUGGUCAGGUAAAGGCUGGCCAAGCCAAUGAUGCUUAGCUGGUCUUUUUGAAUGAUUAGCCACACUGGGACUGAGACACAACCCAGACUCCCAUGGGGGGCAACA